UUCAUUCGCCGACUCCUUGUCCACCUGUAACCAGAGACCCAUUCUAUGCAGACAAGAGACCAAGAGGGUCUGCAACAAUUCCCGAGUGUAUGGAUUGGGAACCUGUUCUUUUCUAAGAGUGACAGAAGGGGAGUGGACCAGAUAGAAGAAGAGGUGGGGAGGAACUGAGUGGAGUACAGGAAGGAUCUUCUCAGGAUCAGAUACUGGGCGGAGAAGUAGAGCCAGAGUGAUUCACGGUGGAGAUCAGACUGGACAUCUAAACACUAAGUGCAUACUCCUGUCAUCCGAUUCACCCAGACAGCAUGCAGUUUUCCUAAAUCCACUUGGUCUUUCUGGUAAAUAUUUAAAAUGUCACUUUAUAGGUGAGUUUAGUGAUUUAGAUAUACAGAAUAUAGUCACAUAUGAAAGAGAAUGUAAC
rnacentral:lncRNA from 1 species